ensembl:snoRNA
AGCCAAUGAUGACAGAACAAGUUAACUUUUCUGACACCUACUAUGAGAGCUGAACCACAGCUCCUGAUUCUAACUUGAUUCUGAGGCUG